rnacentral:rRNA from 1 species
CUGCGGAAGGAUCAUUACCGAGUGAGGGCCCUCUGGGUCCAACCUCCCACCCGUGUUUAUUUUACCUUGUUGCUUCGGCGGGCCCGCCUUAACUGGCCGCCGGGGGGCUCACGCCCCCGGGCCCGCGCCCGCCGAAGACACCCUCGAACUCUGUCUGAAGAUUGAAGUCUGAGUGAAAAUAUAAAUUAUUUAAAACUUUCAACAACGGAUCUCUUGGUUCCGGCAUCGAUGAAGAACGCAGCGAAAUGCGAUACGUAAUGUGAAUUGCAAAUUCAGUGAAUCAUCGAGUCUUUGAACGCACAUUGCGCCCCCUGGUAUUCCGGGGGGCAUGCCUGUCCGAGCGUCAUUGCUGCCCUCAAGCCCGGCUUGUGUGUUGGGCCCCGUCCUCCGAUCUCCGGGGGACGGGCCCGAAAGGCAGCGGCGGCACCGCGUCCGGUCCUCGAGCGUAUGGGGCUUUGUCACCCGCUCUGUAGGCCCGGCCGGCGCUUGCCGAUCAACCCAAAUUUUUAUCCAGGUUGACCUCGGAUCAGGUAGGGAUACCCGCUGAACUUAAGCAUAUCAAUAAGCGGAGGAAUACCGAGUGAGGGCC